rnacentral:rRNA from 1 species
UGCCAGCAGCCGCGGUAAUACGGAGGGGGCAAGCGUUAUUCGGAAUUAUUGGGCGUAAAGGGCGUGUAGGCGGCCUCGUAUGUCCUCUGUGAAAGCCCUCGGCUUAACCGAGGAACUGCAGGGGAAACUGCGGGGCUCGAGUCCGGGAGAGGAGAGCGGAAUUCCCAGUGUAGCGGUGAAAUGCGUAGAUAUUGGGAGGAACACCCGUGGCGAAGGCGGCUCUCUGGACCGGUACUGACGCUGAGACGCGAAAGCUAGGGGAGCAAACGGGAUUAGAUA